UCCAAGUUCUGUGUGAGGGCAUAGUAUAGGCAUAUGCUCAGCUCAGAAGAACAGCUGAGUAGGGGCUACAAGACAGGCAAUAUCUAGUAUGCUUUGUGAUGCUGACGCCCUUCAUGUACAGGGACUCAAGAGAUAGUUCAGCGCCUUAGAGUGGUUACUGCUCUUCCAGAAGACUCCAGUUCAGUUCCUACUACCUGCAGAGCUGGGCAGGACCUAAGAAGCAGAAGUUGGACCUCUCUUCUGUUUGGGUCCUGGAGACUUCACUGUGGAAGCUAUCCAUGAUAUAGUUGAGAGGCUCCCCCACAGCGUGGGAACAACACUAAGUGAGAAUCAAAGAAACAGCUACUAUUACUGGCUUAGCAAUACAUCAGAUUCUACUUCUGAAGAAAGACAGCAGAUGCAACUACCCUUGGAGGUGAAGACCUUCAGAGUCUCACUGAAGUUUUGGGCCCACAAGAAACAAGGCUGAGAGGACCCAAAUACCUCACAUCAUGUUGUAACUUAUAAAGCUUCAAAGUUCUCGAUUUUUAGGACAAAUAAAGGAACCAGGGCAGAGAGAAAUGACUGCCUCUUCAAUAGGUCUAUACAGUUAGUAAAGAAAGGGGCUAGAACUCUAAAUCCCCUAAUUUCAUAGUGUGGCCAAAUCUGACAUUUUUGAAAACCAAAACCAAUCAUCACAAUUUGUCUAGGGAUCUAUCCAGCUCUACCCCUCAUUUCCCAACUGCCCCUCCUCUCAGCAGUCCUUUGUGGAAUUAGUUUUCCCUACCACUCUUUACUCUUAUUUUUCCUCCUCCUCCCAAUUCUGGGGAUCAAACCCAGGGCCUCUACAUUCUAGAUAUCCCAGCACUUUUAAUCAUUUUCUUCUGAGGAAUUGUAAUUAUAAGAGCCUGGCCUCUUUAAAAUCCUACAUACAUGGACUAUCCAAAUAGCUCAGUCAAUAAAAGCACGUG